AUUGAACGCUGGCGGCGUGCUUAACACAUGCAAGUCGUGCGGUAACAGGCGUAGCAAUACGUGCUGACGAGCGGCGAACGGGUGCGUAAUACAUGGGAAUCUGCCUUUUAGUGGGGAAUAACCCGGCGAAAGCCGGGCUAAUGCCGCAUAAGAUCUUCGGAUGAAAGCGGGGGAUCGUAAGACCUCGCGCUGAUAGAUGAGCCCAUGCCGGAUUAGCAGUUGGUGAGGUAACGGCUCACCAAGGCGACGAUCCGUAGCUGGUCUGAGAGGACGGCCAGCCACACUGGGACUGAGACACGGCCCAGACUCCUACGGGAGGCAGCAGUGGGGAAUAUUGGACAAUGGGGAAACCCUGAUCCAGCGACGCCGCGUGUGUGAAGAAGGCCU
rnacentral:rRNA from 1 species